rnacentral:rRNA from 1 species
UAGAGUUUGAUCCUGGCUCAGGAUGAACGCUGGCGGCGUGCCUAAUACAUGCAAGUCGAGCGAACAGACAAGGAGCUUGCUCCUUUGACGUUAGCGGCGGACGGGUGAGUAACACGUGGGUAACCUACCUAUAAGACUGGGAUAACUUCGGGAAACCGGAGCUAAUACCGGAUAAUAUUUCGAACCGCAUGGUUCGAUAGUGAAAGAUGGUUUUGCUAUCACUUAUAGAUGGACCCGCGCCGUAUUAGCUAGUUGGUAAGGUAACGGCUUACCAAGGCGACGAUACGUAGCCGACCUGAGAGGGUGAUCGGCCACACUGGAACUGAGACACGGUCCAGACUCCUACGGGAGGCAGCAGUAGGGAAUCUUCCGCAAUGGGCGAAAGCCUGACGGAGCAACGCCGCGUGAGUGAUGAAGGUCUUCGGAUCGUAAAACUCUGUUAUUAGGGAAGAACAUACGUGUAAGUAACUAUGCACGUCUUGACGGUACCUAAUCAGAAAGCCACGGCUAACUACGUGCCAGCAGCCGCGGUAAUACGUAGGUGGCAAGCGUUAUCCGGAAUUAUUGGGCGUAAAGCGCGCGUAGGCGGUUUUUUAAGUCUGAUGUGAAAGCCCACGUCUCAACCGUGGAGGGUCAUUGGAAACUGGAAAACUUGAGUGCAGAAGAGGAAAGUGGAAUUCCAUGUGUAGCGGUGAAAUGCGCAGAGAUAUGGAGGAACACCAGUGGCGAAGGCGACUUUCUGGUCUGUAACUGACGCUGAUGUGCGAAAGCGUGGGGAUCAAACAGGAUUAGAUACCCUGGUAGUCCACGCCGUAAACGAUGAGUGCUAAGUGUUAGGGGGUUUCCGCCCCUUAGUGCUGCAGCUAACGCAUUAAGCACUCCGCCUGGGGAGUACGACCGCAAGGUUGAAACUCAAAGGAAUUGACGGGGACCCGCACAAGCGGUGGAGCAUGUGGUUUAAUUCGAAGCAACGCGAAGAACCUUACCAAAUCUUGACAUCCUUUGACAACUCUAGAGAUAGAGCCUUCCCCUUCGGGGGACAAAGUGACAGGUGGUGCAUGGUUGUCGUCAGCUCGUGUCGUGAGAUGUUGGGUUAAGUCCCGCAACGAGCGCAACCCUUAAGCUUAGUUGCCAUCAUUAAGUUGGGCACUCUAAGUUGACUGCCGGUGACAAACCGGAGGAAGGUGGGGAUGACGUCAAAUCAUCAUGCCCCUUAUGAUUUGGGCUACACACGUGCUACAAUGGACAAUACAAAGGGCAGCGAAACCGCGAGGUCAAGCAAAUCCCAUAAAGUUGUUCUCAGUUCGGAUUGUAGUCUGCAACUCGACUACAUGAAGCUGGAAUCGCUAGUAAUCGUAGAUCAGCAUGCUACGGUGAAUACGUUCCCGGGUCUUGUACACACCGCCCGUCACACCACGAGAGUUUGUAACACCCGAAGCCGGUGGAGUAACCAUUUGGAGCUAGCCGUCGAAGGU